CAUUUGAGUGAGUGGCGAACUGGUGAGUAACACGUGGGAAACCUGCCCAGAAGCGGGGGAUAACACCUGGAAACAGAUGCUAAUACCGCAUAACAACUUGGACCGCAUGGUCCGAGUUUGAAAGAUGGCUUCGGCUAUCACUUUUGGAUGGUCCCGCGGCGUAUUAGCUAGAUGGUGAGGUAACGGCUCACCAUGGCAAUGAUACGUAGCCGACCUGAGAGGGUAAUCGGCCACAUUGGGACUGAGACACGGCCCAAACUCCUACGGGAGGCAGCAGUAGGGAAUCUUCCACAAUGGACGAAAGUCUGAUGGAGCAACGCCGCGUGAGUGAAGAAGGGUUUCGGCUCGUAAAACUCUGUUGUUAAAGAAGAACAUAUCUGAGAGUAACUGUUCAGGUAUUGACGGUAUUUAACCAGAAAGCCACGGCUAACUACGUGCCAGCAGCCGCGGUAAUACGUAGGUGGCAAGCGUUGUCCGGAUUUAUUGGGCGUAAAGCGAGCGCAGGCGGUUUUUUAAGUCUGAUGUGAAAGCCUUCGGCUCAACCGAAGAAGUGCAUCGGAAACUGGGAAACUUGAGUGCAGAAGAGGACAGUGGAACUCCAUGUGUAGCGGUGAAAUGCGUAGAUAUAUGGAAGAACACCAGUGGCGAAGGCGGCUGUCUGGUCUGUAACUGACGCUGAGGCUCGAAAGUAUGGGUAGCAAACAGGAUUAGAUACCCUGGUAGUCCAUACCGUAAACGAUGAAUGCUAAGUGUUGGAGGGUUUCCGCCCUUCAGUGCUGCAGCUAACGCAUUAAGCAUUCCGCCUGGGGAGUACGGCCGCAAGGCUGAAACUCAAAGGAAUUGACGGGGGCCCGCACAAGCGGUGGAGCAUGUGGUUUAAUUCGAAGCUACGCGAAGAACCUUACCAGGUCUUGACAUACUAUGCAAAUCUAAGAGAUUAGACGUUCCCUUCGGGGACAUGGAUACAGGUGGUGCAUGGUUGUCGUCAGCUCGUGUCGUGAGAUGUUGGGUUAAGUCCCGCAACGAGCGCAACCCUUAUUAUCAGUUGCCAGCAUUAAGUUGGGCACUCUGGUGAGACUGCCGGUGACAAACCGGAGGAAGGUGGGGAUGACGUCAAAUCAUCAUGCCCCUUAUGACCUGGGCUACACACGUGCUACAAUGGAUGGUACAACGAGUUGCGAACUCGCGAGAGUAAGCUAAUCUCUUAAAGCCAUUCUCAGUUCGGAUUGUAGGCUGCAACUCGCCUACAUGAAGUCGGAAUCGCUAGUAAUCGCGGAUCAGCAUGCCGCGGUGAAUACGUUCCCGGGCGUUGUACACACCGCCCGUCACACCAUGAGAGUUUGUAAC
rnacentral:rRNA from 2 species